rnacentral:rRNA from 1 species
CGCGUAGGUGGCUAAUUAAGUCAAAUGUGAAAUCCCCGAGCUUAACUUGGGAAUUGCAUUCGAUACUGGCAGGCUUGAGUCUCGUAGAGGGGGGUAGAAUUCCAGGUGUAGCGGUGAAAUGCGUAGAGAUCUGGAGGAAUACCGAUUGCGAAGGCAGCCCCCUGGACAGUGACUGACGCUCAUAUGCGAAAGCGUGGGGAUCAAACAGGAUUAGAUACCCGUGUA